GUGGAUUCUAUCUCCACUUGGCAUUUAUCACUCAUGCUCUGUAAAGUGGAGGUGUAUCUUCACAGCAACAAGUUAGGUGUUAGCAUGAAUGUGUUGCUUUUGUUUCUGAAGGAAAAUGAAGAUUAUAAUAAUUUGCAUUUCUCUUUAGGCAUGGUCAGUGUUUAAGAAAGACAAGCCCUUGCACUUUGUCUGGAGUAGUACCUGGUGAAGAGUAUAUGAAGCUUAAAGACACCUAUUGGAAGAGGUUUUCAGAGAAACUGACCCAGCCAAAACUACCAACAGAAUCCAGAGCUUGGCCACAACAAAAUCAUCUUCAGACAACUAUCUACAUCAGUGGCACCUUUCAGAUACCUGUGGCAGAUGUAGCGAAGUGUGAUCAUAAAACAAGUUGUCUUUUCCCUUUUGCUGACUGUGUCAAGCAUGAAAUAAGAGCCCAGAACUCUUGGAAGAGUCAACUACUGGAAUGGCAUUACCUAUUGGUUGGGCUGCUGGGUAAAUGUUCUUACUCAGGCACAUUAGAGGCUAAUGGAAGCACGCCUUCAGCAGCUGCUGUUGAUUCUGCCACUUCAAGCAGGACUUGUUUUCCAUGUAUUAUUAUGUAGUGCAUUGUCAGUUUGGAGAAGUACAGGUGUUCUGUCUGAAUAGACUAAAAACCAAAUGAGAACGUGCAAGCAUGGGAGAGAUAAAAUUAAGGAGGAGGAAAUAUAAAUAGAAAUACAGUACAGAAAGAGGACCAUAAUUUUCAUACAAAGGUCUACCAUCAUUGUUCUUAUUGUGUGGCUUAUUUCUCUCAGCUGAUCAGGUAUUGUCAAUAAUGUGUUCAUAACAUGUUUAUCUCCUGCCCCUUUUAUUUAGCAAAUUGUUUGUGGGCUGAUUCAGAUUUCUGAAAGCAUAUUUGUCUGAAAAUUGUUUUGCAUGGGGACAUGUAGCCAGCUGAAGAACAGAUUGUCUGCAAAAUGUAUUAUUUAUUAGUCAGGUAAUGUUUUAUAUUGAUCAAUGAGGUCCCAUUAGUUGCAUCUGCUGUGUUCCAGAGAAAUGGCUGGGAAAGACCAGUCAAGAGAUCAAAUCUGCUAUCCACUCACUUGACUCUCACAACUAAUUUAGUGACAACCCUUGUGAAAGCCUUCCCUCUGGUCCUACCACAUCAGAAACAAGGUCUGUGCUGUGUUCUUCCUUGGUGAAUGGCACCUAGUACCCCAUGUUUCAUUCAGCAGCUUCUAUAAACCUCAGCUGUCCUUUGUUGGUGUCAAGUGAUUGAUAUCAGGCACAGGAUCCAACUAUGAAACAUAGCAGGAUGGAAUAUGUUAGCAAGAUAAAACUGGGUUUAUUUUAUGUUUCCUAUAGAAGAAAUAUGGAGGUGAGAUGUCAAGAGUUUGGGUUUCAGGUCACUCCCAAACUCCUCAGCCUAGAAAGUAGAUGUAGCCAAUAUCACUCCUCUCACAGAGGGAAAGUGAUUUUUUUUUUCUUGAGUGAGCUAAAAAAAAAAAAAACAGCGGCUUGGGUAUGGGUUUCUGGAUGAGUGAUUAUUAGUGGUAACAACUGCAACAUCAACAGUGGUGCAAUUGCCUUGCUGCUGUCUGAAUGGUGAACAGCAAGACACGA
rnacentral:lncRNA from 1 species